rnacentral:rRNA from 1 species
AACGAACGCUGGCGGCAGGCCUAACACAUGCAAGUCGAACGAGAAGCCACCUUCGGGUGGUGGACAGUGGCAGACGGGUGAGUAACGCGUGGGAACGUGCCUUUCGGUUCGGGAUAACCCAGGGAAACUUGGGCUAAUACCGGAUACGCCCUUCGGGGAAAGAUUCAUUGCCGAAAGAUCGGCCCGCGUCGGAUUAGCUAGUUGGUGGGGUAAAAGCCUACCAAGGCGACGAUCCGUAGCUGGUCUGAGAGGAUGACCAGCCACACUGGG